UACGGAGGGUGCAAGCGUUAUCCGGAUUCAUUGGGUUUAAAGGGUGUGUAGGCGGAUUUUUAAGUCAGUGGUGAAAUCUCCGGGCUCAACCCGGAAACUGCCAUUGAUACUAUUAGUCUUGAAUUCUGUUGAGGUGGGCGGAAUACAUCAUGUAGCGGUGAAAUGCUUAGAUAUGAUGUAGAACACCGAUUGCGAAGGCAGCUCACUAAGCAGACAUUGACGCUGAGGCACGAAAGCGUGGGGAUCAAACAGG
rnacentral:rRNA from 1 species